CGGGAUGCUGCAGCAGUGGGGAAUCUUGCGCAAUGGGCGAAAGCCUGACGCAGCAACGCCGCGUGCGGGAUGAAGGCCUUCGGGCUGUAAACCGCUUUCAGCAGGAACGAAAAUGACGGUACCUGCAGAAGAAGGAGCGGCCAACUACGUGCCAGCAGCCGCGGUGACACGUAGGCUCCAAGCGUUGUCCGGAUUUAUUGGGCGUAAAGAGCUCGUAGGCGGUUGAGUAAGUCGGGUGUGAAAACUCUGGGCUUAACCCGGAGACGCCAUCCGAUACUGCUCUGACUAGAGUUCAGGAGGGGAGUGGGGAAUUCCUAGUGUAGCGGUGAAAUGCGCAGAUAUUAGGAGGAACACCGGUGGCGAAGGCGCCACUCUGGACUGAAACUGACGCUGAGGAGCGAAAGCAUGGGUAGCAAACAGGAUUAGAUACCCUCGUAGUC
rnacentral:rRNA from 1 species